rnacentral:rRNA from 1 species
GACGAACGCUGGCGGCGUGCUUAACACAUGCAAGGCGAACGGAAAGGCCCUGCUUUUGUGGGGUGCUCGAGUGGCGAACGGGUGAGUAACACGUGAGUAACCUGCCCUUGACUUUGGGAUAACUUCAGGAAACUGGGGCUAAUACCGGAUAGGAGCUCCUGCUGCAUGGGGGGGGUUGGAAAGUUUCGGCGGUUGGGGAUGGACUCGCGGCUUAUCAGCUUGUUGGUGGGGUAGUGGCUUACCAAGGCUUUGACGGGUAGCCGGCCUGAGAGGGUGACCGGCCACAUUGGGACUGAGAUACGGCCCAGACUCCUACGGGAGGCAGCAGUGGGGAAUAUUGCACAAUGGGCGGAAGCCUGAUGCAGCAACGCCGCGUGCGGGAUGACGGCCUUCGGGUUGUAAACCGCUUUCGCCUGUGACGAAGCGUGAGUGACGGUAAUGGGUAAAGAAGCACCGGCUAACUACGUG